UACGUAGGUGGCGAGCGUUGUCCGGAUUUAUUGGGCGUAAAGCGCGCGCAGGCGGUCGCGUAAGUCUGCUGUGAAAUCUCCCUGGCUCAACCGGGAGGGGGCGGCGGAGACUGCGGGACUGGAGGGACCUAGAGGCCGGUGGAAUUCCCGGUGUAGUGGUGAAAUGCGUAGAGAUCCGGAGGAACCCCAGAGGCGAAGGCGGCAUCCUGGCCCACGACUGACACUCAGACACGACAGCAUGGGGAGCGAACGGG
rnacentral:rRNA from 1 species